rnacentral:rRNA from 1 species
AACACAUGCAAGUCGAGCGGUAACAGAAAAGAAGCUUGCUUCUUUUGCUGACGAGCGGCGGACGGGUGAGUAAUGCCUGGGAAUAUACCCUGAUGUGGGGGAUAACUAUUGGAAACGAUAGCUAAUACCGCAUAAUCUCUUCGGAGCAAAGAGGGGGACCUUCGGGCCUCUCGCGUCAGGAUUAGCCCAGGUGGGAUUAGCUAGUUGGUGGGGUAAUGGCUCACCAAGGCGACGAUCCCUAGCUGGUCUGAGAGGAUGAUCAGCCACACUGGAACUGAGACACGGUCCAGACUCCUACGGGAGGCAGCAGUGGGGAAUAUUGCACAAUGGGGGAAACCCUGAUGCAGCCAUGCCGCGUGUAUGAAGAAGGCCUUCGGGUUGUAAAGUACUUUCAGUUGUGAGGAAGGCGUUGGAGUUAAUAGCUUCAGCGCUUGACGUUAGCAACAGAAGAAGCACCGGCUAACUCCGUGCCAGCAGCCGCGGUAAUACGGAGGGUGCGAGCGUUAAUCGGAAUUACUGGGCGUAAAGCGCAUGCAGGCGGUCUGUUAAGCAAGAUGUGAAAGCCCGGGGCUCAACCUCGGAACAGCAUUUUGAACUGGCAGACUAGAGUCUUGUAGAGGGGGGGUAGAAUUUCAGGUGUAGCGGUGAAAUGCGUAGAGAUCUGAAAGGAAUACCAGUGGCGAAAGCGGCCCCCUGGACAAAGACUGACGCUCAGAUGCGAAAGCGUGGGGAGCAAACAGGAUUGGAUACCCUGGUAGUCCACGCCGUAAACGAUGUCUACUUGGAGGUUGUGGCCUUGAGCCGUGGCUUUCGGAGCUAACGCGUUAAGUAGACCGCCUGGGGGAGUACGGUCGC